AGUGAACGCUGGCGGUAGGCCUAACACAUGCAAGUCGAACGGCAGCACAGUAAGAGCUUGCUCUUACGGGUGGCGAGUGGCGGACGGGUGAGGAAUACAUCGGAAUCUACUUUUUCGUGGGGGACAACGUAGGGAAACUUACGCUAAUACCGCAUACGACCUACGGGUGAAAGCAGGGGAUCUUCGGACCUUGCGCGAUUGAAUGGGCCGAUGUCGGAUUAGCUAGUUGGCGGGGUAAAGGCCCACCAAGGCGACGAUCCGUAGCUGGUCUGAGAGGAUGAUCAGCCACACUGGAACUGAGACACGGUCCAGACUCCUACGGGAGGCAGCAGUGGGGAAUAUUGGACAAUGGGCGCAAGCCUGAUCCAGCCAUACCGCGUGGGUGAAGAAGGCCUUCGGGUUGUAAAGCCCUUUUGUUGGGAAAGAAAAGCAGCAGGUUAAUACCCCGCUGUUCUGACGGUACCCAAAGAAUAGGCACCGGCUAACUUCG
rnacentral:rRNA from 1 species